rnacentral:rRNA from 1 species
GGGUUGUGAGGUUAAGCGACUAAGCGUACACGGUGGAUGCCCUGGCAGUCAGAGGCGAUGAAGGACGUGCUAAUCUGCGAAAAGCGUCGGUAAGGUGAUAUGAACCGUUACAGCCGGCGAUGUCCGAAUGGGGAAACCCAGUGCAAUUCGUUGCACUAUCGUUAACUGAAUACAUAGGUUAACGAGGCGAACCGGGGGAACUGAAACAUCUAAGUACCCCGAGGAAAAGAAAUCAACCGAGAUUCCCCCAGUAGCGGCGAGCGAACGGGGAGCAGCCCAGAGUCUGAAUCAGCUUGUGUGUUAGUGGAACGGUCUGGAAAGUCCGACGGUACAGGGUGAUAGUCCCGUACACCAAAAUGCACAGGCUGUGAACUCGAAGAGUAGGGCGGGACACGUGGUAUCCUGUCUGAAUAUGGGGGGACCAUCCUCCAAGGCUAAAUACUCCUGACUGACCGAUAGUGAACCAGUACCGUGAGGGAAAGGCGAAAAGAACCCCGGCGAGGGGAGUGAAAAAGAACCUGAAACCGUGUACGUACAAGCAGUGGGAGCACCUUCGGGUGUGACUGCGUACCUUUUGUAUAAUGGGUCAGCGACUUAUAUUCUGUAGCAAGGUUAACCGUAUAGGGGAGCCGCAGGGAAACCGAGUCUUAACUGGGCGUUAAGUUGCAGGGUAUAGACCCGAAACCCGGUGAUCUAGCCAUGGGCAGGUUGAAGGUUGGGUAACACUAACUGGAGGACCGAACCGACUAAUGUUGAAAAAUUAGCGGAUGACUUGUGGCUGGGGGUGAAAGGCCAAUCAAACCGGGAGAUAGCUGGUUCUCCCCGAAAGCUAUUUAGGUAGCGCCUCGUGAAUUCAUCUUCGGGGGUAGAGCACUGUUUCGGCUAGGGGGUCAUCCCGACUUACCAACCCGAUGCAAACUACGAAUACCGAAGAAUGUUAUCACGGGAGACACACGGCGGGUGCUAACGUCCGUCGUGAAGAGGGAAACAACCCAGACCGCCAGCUAAGGUCCCAAAGUCAUGGUUAAGUGGGAAACGAUGUGGGAAGGCACAGACAGCCAGGAUGUUGGCUUAGAAGCAGCCAUCAUUUAAAGAAAGCGUAAUAGCUCACUGGUCGAGUCGGCCUGCGCGGAAGAUGUAACGGGGCUAAACCAUGCACCGAAGCUGCGGCAGCGACACUAUGUGUUGUUGGGUAGGGGAGCGUUCUGUAAGCCUGCGAAGGUGACCUGUGAGGGUUGCUGGAGGUAUCAGAAGUGCGAAUGCUGACAUAAGUAACGAUAAAGCGGGUGAAAAGCCCGCUCGCCGGAAGACCAAGGGUUCCUGUCCAACGUUAAUCGGGGCAGGGUGAGUCGACCCCUAAGGCGAGGCCGAAAGGCGUAGUCGAUGGGAAACAGGUUAAUAUUCCUGUACUUGGUGUUACUGCGAAGGGGGGACGGAGAAGGCUAUGUUAGCCGGGCGACGGUUGUCCCGGUUUAAGCAUGUAGGCUGGUUAUCCAGGCAAAUCCGGAUAAUCAAGGCUGAGGUGUGAUGACGAGGCACUACGGUGCUGAAGUAACAAAUGCCCUGCUUCCAGGAAAAGCCUCUAAGCAUCAGGUAACAUCAAAUCGUACCCCAAACCGACACAGGUGGUCAGGUAGAGAAUACCAAGGCGCUUGAGAGAACUCGGGUGAAGGAACUAGGCAAAAUGGUGCCGUAACUUCGGGAGAAGGCACGCUGGUGUGUAGGUGAAGUCCCUGCGGAUGGAGCUGAGACCAGUCGAAGAUACCAGCUGGCUGCAACUGUUUAUUAAAAACACAGCACUGUGCAAACACGAAAGUGGACGUAUACGGUGUGACGCCUGCCCGGUGCCGGAAGGUUAAUUGAUGGGGUUAUCCGUAAGGAGAAGCUCUUGAUCGAAGCCCCGGUAAACGGCGGCCGUAACUAUAACGGUCCUAAGGUAGCGAAAUUCCUUGUCGGGUAAGUUCCGACCUGCACGAAUGGCGUAAUGAUGGCCAGGCUGUCUCCACCCGAGACUCAGUGAAAUUGAACUCGCUGUGAAGAUGCAGUGUACCCGCGGCAAGACGGAAAGACCCCGUGAACCUUUACUAUAGCUUGACACUGAACAUUGAGCCUUGAUGUGUAGGAUAGGUGGGAGGCUUUGAAGCGUGGACGCCAGUCUGCGUGGAGCCAACCUUGAAAUACCACCCUUUAAUGUUUGAUGUUCUAACGUUGGCCCCUGACCGGGGUUGCGGACAGUGUCUGGUGGGUAGUUUGACUGGGGCGGUCUCCUCCCAAAGCGUAACGGAGGAGCACGAAGGUUAGCUAAUCCUGGUCGGACAUCAGGAGGUUAGUGCAAUGGCAUAAGCUAGCUUGACUGCGAGCGUGACGGCGCGAGCAGGUGCGAAAGCAGGUCAUAGUGAUCCGGUGGUUCUGAAUGGAAGGGCCAUCGCUCAACGGAUAAAAGGUACUCCGGGGAUAACAGGCUGAUACCGCCCAAGAGUUCAUAUCGACGGCGGUGUUUGGCACCUCGAUGUCGGCUCAUCACAUCCUGGGGCUGAAGUAGGUCCCAAGGGUAUGGCUGUUCGCCAUUUAAAGUGGUACGCGAGCUGGGUUUAGAACGUCGUGAGACAGUUCGGUCCCUAUCUGCCGUGGGCGCUGGAGAAUUGAGGGGGGCUGCUCCUAGUACGAGAGGACCGGAGUGGACGCAUCACUGGUGUUCGGGUUGUCAUGCCAAUGGCACUGCCCGGUAGCUAAAUGCGGAAGAGAUAAGUGCUGAAAGCAUCUAAGCACGAAACUUGCCCCGAGAUGAGUUCUCCCUGAGACUUUAAGUCUCCUGAAGGAACGUUGAAGACGACGACGUUGAUAGGCCGGGUGUGUAAGCGCAGCGAUGCGUUGAGCUAACCGGUACUAAUGAACCGUGAGGCUUAACCUUACAACGCCGAAG